AAUUAAAAGUAAAAAGAAUGAUACAUAAUUCUUGACACAUCUCGAAGUUUAUCUUACAAUUCACACAUAAUAAUUCAUUUACACAAGGAAGAGACUUUUAUCUAAUAAAUACUUACAAUUAAAACAUCCAUGACAACUAAAAGAAUCACCUAUACAAGAUUUUGCAUAUAUUACGAGGUGGAACAACAAUUUAUACAUGCAAUUAUAAAAUUUUCGCCUGAUCUUCAUAGCAGCAAGUUCUGCCUCUCAAAAAAGAUCAGAUAAAGCCAUCAAUCUGUACAUAAUGGAGAACCAUCAGGGUAAAAGAGAAAAAAGGGAGAAGAAAAAUCAAUGACAGUUUCAAGGAUUAUAUCCUAAAUUCUAAAUCCAUGAAUUGUUUAUCAUGAAAGAAUUUGCAGUCUAAUGAUCUAUGCUCUUCUAAAGAUUAACUAAGAGGAAAGUUGUCCAAGUCUGAACCCAUGUAAAAGUUAGUGUGUUUGGGUAAUAUAUCAUUCGGCAGAAGCACCGUGCAUAUUGCCCAACUAAGGGGCUAUCUUUAUUGUUUACCCCGGAAAUUCAAGAAAGAAUACUGGAACAGAUGGAAAGAAAAAUAUAGACCAAAGGGAAAGCCACAAGAGUCCAUAAUUCCAUUUUGAUUUGAACAGGAACUUUUAGGCACAUAUUCUUGAACACCUCGUGAAAAGCAAAGAAAUCAACAAACUUUUGAUUAAUUAUUUUAAUAGUUUGAGACAAUGGUUGGCACUUGGACUACCAAUCCCUAGUUGAAGUCAGCAUGAUGUUUGAGUAGCUUGUCAAUAAUCUAGCAAUUGCUGUUUCAAAAUUUUAAUGGAAGAACUAAAAGCUGCAAUCUCUAGCUAUUAACAUCCAACAGCUAACCAUAGCUACUAAUGCAAAUAGGUCCUUAACCAUCCUCCUAUCAAUAAAUGUUGUACAGGAAACCAACGCACUAAUAGCUAACCAAUGAAACUACGCAAUGAAUUUCAGGAAAAUUACAAUACGGAAGAUGAAAAUAGGAGUUCAAGUGACAGGGCAAAACAUCUUCUAACAUUUGUAGUCGUCUCUACCAGUGCCAUGAUAAGGAGGUUCUUCUCUCUGAAAACUAUUUGCAUAAUCUGGAUAUCUGUGACCUGACAAAAAGAAAACCACCAAAAUGAAGUAAAAUAUACAUCAUUAUAUAUUAUCAAAAAGCCACAAUCACAUAAGGGUUUGCCUAAUGCAUAGCCAGCACCUUGCCGCUGAUAAUAAGAAAGAGAAUCCAUUCCAACACCUGGGGGAACAUCACCAUGGCUAUAGACCAAAAAUGAAAAAGUUAUUUUUACAAAAGAAUAAAUCCAUUGGCAAAUUAUCAAUCCAAAAACUUGUGUGCAUGAAGAGGGAGGGGUUGGAAAGCUGAGAAAUUGAGUGCAUGAGAGUGGCUUCACUAAUUAAAUGUAAAAAAUUAGAAGGAAUUUAAACUAAUAAUACCUAAGGCUUCCAACCGGAUAAGAACUUUCCAUUCGAAUACGAGUGUACCCUCUAGGAUCUGAAUAAUUCAGAUCAUCUCCCUGCAUUUACAGAGAAGUUGGUUGCAUUUGACAAAGGGAUAUAGAUUAGGAAGGAUCAUCCAGCCAUCAGUCUGAAGGGCUUACCAACAUAAAGAAAGAGCGCUUCUGUCCAGGUAAUGCUUGAGAAUAAUCCCAAUUCGCCAUGCCUGAACUCAAUCUUGCUUGCAUUUGCUUCUGUAGAGCCCGCUCUGCUAAGCGUUGCUCAAGCUCAGCUGUUCUAGAGGAUCUUAUAUCACCCAAUAUUUGAUCGUCAAUACGUAUGGCAGGAGUUUUGCUGUUUCUCAGUUCAACUUGCUUUGCAGGACCUUGACUUGACUGUUUUUGUUUUGAAACUUCUUUACCUGUAGGCUUGGAGACUUUCUUAUGGGCUUUACCCUUUUGCAUAGGUUUUGCAAGGGAUACCUUUACAUUUACCUGAGAUCCCUUGUCACUCAAUCUCUCAUGGUUGAAUAAUUCUAUGCAUGUAAGAGCAGCUUCACGGGUUUUAAAAUUAACAAAGGCAAAGUCUUUUCUCCUUGAAGAAGGUAGAUUUCGGGAAAGAACAACAUUUUCAAUUUCUCCAAACUUUGUAAAGUAACUUCUCACUUUUUCUUCAUCCCACGAGGGAGGUAAAUACUCUGCAUAUACUGACUUAACCUUCAGCAACUCUUCUUCAACUGGCUCACUUAAGGGUUCAGCCCAAGCAACUUUUAUAUUUCGAAGCUUUCCCUGGUCAUUCUUCUGAAGUUUCUUGAAAGCAAAUUGAGCAUCUUUGUUAGUUUCAAGUUCUAAAAAUGCAAACCCACGAUUACGUCCCACAUUUGAAGGAUCAGGCAUCACAGUGACUUUAUCUAUUUUCUCAAUUCCCAUCUCAUGCAACAGUUUAACGACAUCUUCAUUUGUCCACCUCUUGUCAAGGUUACCAAGAAAAAUUGUGUCAUUGCCCUCAACAGGAGCUGUAGUACACCGCUUUCCACAAAUCUCGGCUUUUGGGUAUUUCUCCAAUGCCUUCUUUGCAUCCGCGGCUGAAGCAUACCUCACAAAUGCAAAGCCCUUAUUCUUCCCUGUCUUGCUAUUAAUCACCAACCUCACUUCCACAAUGUCACCAACUUCCUCAAAAACCUUCCUGACAUCCUCCUCCUUUGCAUCAGUGUUCAACCCACCAAUGAAAAUCUCUGUUUUCCUCCUCCUCCUCCUCUCCAGUGCCUCCAGCUCCCCGCUCAAAACUAUCCUUCCAUUACCCAUCUCACUAUCCUCCUUCCCUCCCUCCUCAAUUCCACUGUUCGACUCCACAACUUGAACCACACACUCAUUAUUUCUAUCCCUAACUAAAUCCACAUUCAUCACUUCCGUGGGCAUUUUAGUAGCAGUAUCUGAUUUCUCAACUACACCCUCACUCUUUUCGCCAUCCACUGGAAUUUCAUUCACAGAAACUUGUUUUCCUCCUCCACCCAUUGUUUUAAAGGUUUCAGCUUCCAUAGAAACACCAAAAGGCUGAUCAGGGUUUUUAGCUUCUUCCAUUGACAAUGUCACACAGGCAUCAGACUUGUCAGCCCUAACUGGGACAGAAAUUGAAGAAUCAACCCCUCCAACUUCCAGCUUUGGCAUGGAAUCAUUACCGUCACCAUCCAAAAUUUUGGGUUGCUUCUCCAAUCCUUUAUCCUCUGGUUCUGCACUCAAUUUAACCAUUCCAAUUUCUUGCAUUGUCAGAGAAACACAAUCAACGCUGCUAAUUUUUUCACCACCAUCAUCCAAAACCUCCUCUGUCGUCAAUUCUUUAUUCGAACACGCAGUCACGGCCUUAUGCAUAUAUUUGGGCACUCUCUUUUUCACUACCUUCUUCACAACCUUUACCACCACCUUCUUUGUCUUCUUCUUCGGCUCCAUCGCCACCAGAUUAUCGUUCCCAGAAUCUCCAUUAACAUUCCCACUCCCACCAAUCAAAUCUUUCUCCUCGAUUCUCGCGUCAUUCUCCUGAGCUAGGGUUUCGUUUCCCGCGCUAAUUUUUUCAUUUUGCGUUUCCAUUGAAGAAUUUUGCCUCUUCUCGUCUACGGCUCUUUCCUUCAAAGGUUCUGCAGGAACUGUAACCGAAGGUGUCGCCGACGUGGUUCCAUUUUCAAUCGCGGGGGAAAAAGCCGGUAAAAGGGCACUUUCAGAAGCUGAUUUUGCGGUAGUUUUUGUUUCGCCAUUGUGUGGAGAUUUAACAGCAGUUAAGGAAUCAGAGGAAGGAAUAGGCGUAAGGUCAGGAACGGCGCGCUUGGCGGUGGUCCUAACGGCACGUUUCGGCCGGGGACCUGGUUGCUUCUUCGGAGCCAUUUCUGUGUACGUUUUUUUAUCUUUAUUUAUUUUUACUUUCGAGCUACAGCUGUUCACCCUUUUGGUGCAGUGGCGGUGGCGAAGAAGACUCGAG
rnacentral:misc_RNA from 1 species